CAGCCGCCGCGGUAAUACGGGGGGGGCAAGCGUUGUUCGGAAUUAUUGGGCGUAAAGGGUGCGUAGGCGGCCCCGCAAGUCUCAUGUGAAAUCUUCAGGCUCAACUUGAAGUCUGCAUGGGAAACUGCGGGGCUGGAGUAUGGGAGAGGUGAGUGGAAUUCCUGGUGUAGCGGUGAAAUGCGUAGAUAUCAGGAGGAACACCUGUGGCGAAAGCGGCUCACUGGACCAUAACUGACGCUGAGGCUCGAAAGCUAGGGGAGCAGACAGGAUUAGAUACCCGCGUAGUCCCUGUCUCUUAUAC
rnacentral:rRNA from 1 species